ACCCUUAGAUGUUCUGGGCCGCACGCGUGCUACACUGAGUGGAUCAGCGGGUCAGGUUGCGCGAAAGUGUUUCCUAAUCUUGAAAUCCGCUCGUGAUGGGGAUUGACGGUUGCAAUUUUCCGUCAUGAACGAGGAAUACCUUGUAAGCGCGGGUCAUCAUCCCGCGCUGAAUACGUCCCUGCCCUUUGUACACACCGCCCGUCGCUCCUACCGAUUGAGUGGUCCGGUGAGGCUUUGGGAUCUGAGCGGAAAGAGCGUUUCGCUGUUUCUGCUCGGAAAACUCAGUCGAACCCUAUCAUUUAGAGGAAGGAGAAGUCGUAACA
rnacentral:rRNA from 1 species